rnacentral:sRNA from 1 species
CGCGCUUGCUCUCUCUUCUCUUUUUUGUCUU